UUCUUAUGUAUACUAUAAAAAUCAUAUUCCCAUUGGAAUUUUUAAAGCCUGUUUAGGUUACACAUUGUUAUAAAUAAAAAAAUUAUUCACACUGCAAGCAAUACUAUCUCUUUCUCUUCAGUUUUGUCCCUUAAAAAUGCAAUAGAUUUAGUAUCUUUCAUUAUGCAAAAAACAAUUUAUCGAUAUAGAUCACUAUGAAGCUCAUCAAUAUGAAAAAUUUCUGACUUACAUUUUGCCUCAAUUUAUAAAUUGUUUUAAGUAGCAACUAAAAUGGCAUAAGAGUAAAAGAAUCUUGAAAACCAGAUGUUCAUUAGGGUCCCAGAUUUACCAUUAAAACUGAGGAUAUAUGUUAUGAUCUUAUUUUUAUUAGAUUGUAAUAGUUAUACAUAGAAGUUGAAUACAUAGUAGUAUAUAUAGUCAUUGUUACACUUAGUAGUUUUGUCGGGUUUAUCCCAACAAAAUUAUACAUGCAUGGAAUUUGAUUUCAGUUCAAGAUUCAAUUCCUUUCCUGACCCUCUCUCCUUCUGUCCUUCCUGUCCUCCAUUGUUCUCUUUCCUCUACUCUGAUAGACAUAUGCUCCCUUCUCCAUUUAGUUUUGAUUGGUUCUUUUUACUUAAACAGAAAGAUGACAUUUCCUGUGGUAUAUUUGUAUAUGCACAUAACAUAAUUUUUGAAGAGUUCAUUAUUUGUUGACUCUCCUUUGUUAUCCUUCUACUUGGCCCCUCCAUCUUCUCCUACUACACUACUGAUCUUCCCUGUAUCUUUUUGAUAUCCUAUCCUUCCUUCCUCCUUUUCUUCAUUUUAUCCUAGCUUCCACAUAUUAGAGAAUACAUUCAACCUUUGAGUUUCUGAGUUUGUCUUUUUUCACUUAACAUGAUAUUCUCCAUUUCCACCCAUUAACUAACAAAUUCCAUAAUUUAAUUAUUCUUUAUGGGUGAGUAGAAUGACAUUGUGUAUACAUACAACAAUUUCUUAAUUUUUUCAUCCAUCAGUGGGCAUCUGGGUUGAUUUUAUAAUGUAGUCAUUAAGAAUUGGACUACUAUAAACUUGAAGUAGCUAUAUCACUAUAGUAUGCUGAUUUUAGUUCUUUUACAAAAAUAACCAGGAGUGAAAUAUCUUGGUUCUAUUGUGGUUUGAUCCCUAGAUUUUUUUAGGAAUAUUCAAACUGCUUUGCAGAGUGAACAUACUAGUCUUCAUUGUUUCCAACAAUGUACAAAUGUUCCUUUAUCCAAACAACCUUGCCAGCAUUUAUUGUUGUUUGUAUACUUGCUCAUUACCAUUCCAAUUGGAGUGAUAUUAGCCCUUAUUGUAGCAUUUCUCUGAUUGCUAGAGAUGUUGAACAUUUGUUUAUAUAUUUGUUGUUCAUUCAUUUUCUUCUUUUGAAAAAUGUCUCCUCAGUUCUUUUUCCCAUUUAUUGUAAUAGGUUGUUUUGAGGGUAUAUUGUUGUCUGUGUUAUAUAUUCUGGAUAUUAACCCCCUAUCAGUUGAGUAGCUGACAGACUUUCACUGAUUCCCAGGGAGAAUAUAUUUUUGAUUUCAUCUUUAUAACAUGGAAGGUAAAUAUUUUUUAUCUAAUAAUAGCAGAAAACAAGAUUCAAUUCCUUUCCUUUAAGAAAAAAAGCAGCAUAGUCUACUCAAAGUCUAUUCUUUCAAUUCAGAUCCCACUUCUUUUGUGAACAAUUUGGAGCAAAAGUGCCUGAUAUUGGUAUGUGGGAUUCUGACACCAUAAAUUGAAUAGAAUCAAGAGGACUUGAGUAACAUGAAGAAAAAACUUCCAUGUUAUUGGAAAGUGUAUACCUGCAACUUUAGUUCUUCACAUGUAAAUGUUUGCUAUGAAAAAUCAAUGUCAAAGAAGUGUUAAGCAAUAGUAAAGAUAUUUCUGUAGUACUGGAUAUAUAAUGCACAGUCUUGUAAAUAUUCUCUAACAGUGAAUCAAGGAACCUUUCUGAUAAGGGUUGGUAUUUCUGGAAAAGUAUGUAUUCUUUGAUAUGUAGAUUAAUAAACCCUGAUAUAGAGUUAAAAAUUUGGCUUAUUAAAUAAAAUAUUUAAAUCCUUUACUAAUUGUUUUAGGGUACAGGGCUAUUGAGAAAAGAGGUCUCUGUCUUCAAGAAAUGACUAGAGUUUAUGUGGCCACUCUAAGUAGAGGAGAGACAUUGCAAAGUUAAGGGUCGGAAAAUAUGAAAGUGAAAUGAGAUGAGAAGGAAGAGAUUACUCUUAAUUUACAAUAUUUGUUAUAUUCUUAUGUUCAUACAGCACUUUGUAAGAGGUUCAGUUCAGUUGAAUAAUUCUGUAAAAUUUUUGUUGUUUUCCAGAGGGGCUAUACACCACUUUUACUUGCCAUAGAGCAAAACAGACAGCAGAUGGUUGAAACAUUAAUUCAGAACAAAGCAAAUAUACAUGCAGUUGACCAGAAGGGAAGAACAGCCCUCAUGUUUGCUUUGGAACAAAAAUCAAAACACGUAGUUGAGAUGCUUCUUCAGAGUGGUAUUGAUGUCUCUGCUGCAGAUAACUUUGGGCAGAUGGCAUUAGCUUAUGCUAUUGCUAGUGGUGAUACUAACCUGAAGGAAUUAAUUCUUCAAUAUAUGAAAGUAGAAUCUAAACAUCCUGAAAAUAUCAACCCAGUUUUUGGCAGACACAACAUCUUUGUUUGUAUGUGGUGCUGAGGAUUGAACCCGGGCCGCACGCAUGCCAGGCCAGUGUGCUACCGCUUGAGCCACAUCCCCAGCCCCAAGGACAUCCAUAACAUUCAAAAAAUUUAAGAAAUUUUCUGCUAUUUUUUUCUCCAAAUAAAUUGCAUUGCCUAUAAGCCUGUAGUAAUACACCAUUGUCUGUGUUCAUAAUUCAUGAGUUUAGUCUAUAAAUCAGGUACCAAGGACUUUGUAUAUUCUGUUUCUUCUUCUUUUUGUUGUCAUAACUAACUAAACGUGACAUUCAUCAUUGCCUUCCAACUCUGAUAUUUUUUCUUCUGAUUAAUCUAGUCUAUGAUUGAAACUUAGAUUUAUUUUUUUUUAAUUUGAAAUAUUAAGCUAUUUAUUUCCAAGAUUGCUGUUUGAUUUCUUUUCGGAAGCUCUAUUUUUGCACUGUUCUCUAAUGCCUUGUAAAGUUUUUAUUACUUUAUUUAUCUUCUAUUUGUAUCAUUUUUGAGUUCAUACAUUAUUUUUAAUCUUUUUAAAUCCUUUUUCUGGCAUUUUGUCUACUGCAGUGUCAUUGGAAUCAGUUGCUAGAGAGUUAUGAACUUUUGGAGGAUCCAUGUUACCUUACUUGUUCAUCUUAUAUUUGUGCUAAAUUUUGUGCAUCUGUGGGGAUGUAUGUUUCUUCCACAUUUAUGUGAGAGUCUUCUUAGGAAAUAACCUUCUCUUGAUGAUGUAUCCUGGGCUAUUGGUUUAUUUUGUCAAGAUUAUUUCCAAAUUAUAGACUUUGUAUUAUAGACUUUUAUGUUUUACCUGACUGUGAUUCAUGGAUUUUGUCACAGUUUGUACUAUCAUAGCCUGAAGGACCAACUUUCUUUGUCAAUCUUGUGAGAAUGGAGUCACAUGAUGUAGGCAGUGGAUUAUGUGGGCUGCAUUUUUUGUGGUCAUUACUGUAGCCUUGUCAAUAAUUUUCUGUCUGCAAAGGCACGGGAGAGACCUAGUGCCACAGUCCAGCUGGGCAAAGUAACUGAGAGGUGACAAGCAACUGAAGGUUGAAGCGGUAACUGAAGGUAACUGAAGAUAACUGCUUUAUUAUAGAAGAGCAGAAGUAUAUAUAUCUAACUGAUUUACAUAAAGCAUGACUCAAUCAGCAUCAUCCAAUCAUAGCAUUGCUCCCCUACAGAUACAGCAAUCAGCCAAUAAGGAGUCCCCACCAUCUUGAUGACUCAGUGGCAUUGCCUCACAAGCCACUCCUCCUGGCAAACUGCCAGGCACCAUCUUGACAUGGUCAUGGCCUCCAACAACCUAGGCUGAGGUGCUGCUUGGUGCAGACUUCAUACCUGCACAACUCUGUAAACAGAGUUGUUUCACCUACCUGCUCAUGCUAUGAGGGUGGCUGCCAAACACUGGAUUAUAGUACAUUCGAUCCAUACCAACAUGGGUACAUGUCAGCUGGGGGCUUUUAUUUACCCUGUUAUUUGACUCGAAGUACCUGCCAAGUUAUAAGUGGGACUGUACGUCUUCUGUGGAAAGUAAGAUGCAUUUUUUCUUACCUUUGCUGUGGGUUUUAGAAGUUGCAAAGUACCUGCCAAUGUGUUCAAGGAAUGGGGCUGGAUCCCCAAUGCAGAUGGAAGAAGACAAACAACAAUAAUACAGCAUGAAGGCAAACUAGAUAUAGGUAUACAGAAACAAUCAAAAAGAAAAAAAAAAAAAAAACAUCAGUAACAACAGAGAAGAAAAGGAUAAAAUAUUUAGGAUCUACUAAAUUGUUAAAGGUUCAUAAAAGUAAAAUUAAUUUUAAAAAAAGGAAAAAUGAGAAAUUAGAAGAAAAUUUAAAAAUUCUAUUAAAUUAUGACAAUAAAAGUAAUGAAACAAAAUGACAAAGUAAUAAUUAAAAAGAAAGUAACACAAAGCAAAAUCUAGUCAAGAAUUUCUUCUACAUGAGUUGUAUGUGCACACACUGUCCUAGUUUUGCCCAGGGCAAUUGUCAAUGCCUGCAUAGCAGCAAGCCCUUCAUACCUGCAGAGCUUUGGCAUUAUGAGGGUUGUGCCAGAAAGUCAUAUAUUCUGCCUGUAGAACUAUAGUCUGUGUGGGCUGGGGAUGUGGCUCAAGCGGUAGCGCGCUUGCCUGGCAAGCGUGCGGCCCAGGUUCGAUCCUCACCACCACAUACAAACAAAGAUGUUGUGUCCGCCAAAAACUGAAAAAAAAAAAAAUUAAAAUUUUCUCUCUCUCUCUCUCUCUCUCUCUCUCUC